GAUGAACGCUGGCGGCGUGCCUAAUACAUGCAAGUCGAGCGAACAGACGAGGAGCUUACUCCUCUGACGUUAGCGGCGGACGGGUGAGUAACACGUGGAUAACCUACCUAUAAGACUGGGAUAACUUCGGGAAACCGGAGCUAAUACCGGAUAACAUGUUGAACCGCAUGGUUCAACAGUGAAAGACGGUCUUGCUGUCACUUAUAGAUGGAUCCGCGUCGCAUUAGCUAGUUGGUAAGGUAACGGCUUACCAAGGCAACGAUGCGUAGCCGACCUGACAGGGUGAUCGGCCACACUGGAACUGAGACACGGUCCAGACUCCUACGGGAGGCAGCAGUAGGGAAUCUUCCGCAAUGGGCGAAAGCCUGACGGAGCAACGCCGCGUGAGUGAAGAAGGUCUUCGGAUCGUAAAACUCUGUUAUUAGGGAAGAACAAAUGUGUAAGUAACUAUGCACGUCUUGACGGUACCUAAUCAGAAAGCCACGGCUAACUACGUG
rnacentral:rRNA from 1 species